UUUUUUUUUUUUUUAAUAUGGAUUAAGGAAUUCUCCACAUAAGGCUGUAAUGUUGAAUUAUAACAGAUGAUAAAUGUCACUUGCACAAAACUGCUAGAAUCUGUUUCCAGUAAGUUACUGACAAAAAUCCCUCUGAGCACUUUGUGGUCUCAGGCCUCAACAUCUAUCAGCUGUCUUGAGAUGAGGUUCUCUGCUCUACCUGUAAGUAGCAGGAAUCUCAGCCUCUGGAUGAUGGAGACUUGAAAUAACUCCAUACAUACUGAGUUACUCCGGAGGAAAUAUGUACUGAUGGCCUUUGAAUUACAGCAGCCCAGCUCCCCUUGCCAGAAGUACUGCCAGACUCUUCCAAUAGUUUGUAACAUAGGCCAGCUUCACCCUUGUGUAAAAUCUCUUGCAAGACUAUAGAAAAGCUCUCUGCAGGGCAUCUCUCCUUGCAGCAUGGGGAAAUUCAACUCUCACCCCACCAAGAACUGAGAUUUUAAGAUUUCUGCAAGCUGCUCCUGCACCUUUUUUUCAGACAUCAGAGGGAGCAUGAAAAGUUACUUGUUCUUUAAUACCUUAAUCUGUUUGGGAAAUGUGGGUGAUCUUGUAAUGGUUAAUUGCUACGAUGAUGUGGUGUUUUCUUCUGUUUCUUGCACUCCUGUGGAUGUACCAUACUCCAUCCCUGGGCACAGGGCAGGUAAGCAGAGCUACAGCCUGUUCUGACAGGAAACAGAAGAAUGUCAGUUUCAGAAUCUGUUCUUUCUCUCUCUUCCAGUGCUGAAACGUUAGCAUCAGUUACCACCACUAGCAGACUGCAGCAUACUCUGAAUGGAUAUUCUCACAAAAUGAACUUUAUGGUUCAGACUGUUGAGGAUACCAAUGUAUGGAGCUCCCCUGCAGACACCUCCUAACCCUCCUGGCUUCAGACCAGAUUGUUCAACUUCCACUCCAGGCUUGUCAUUCUGGUGAAGGAUUUGAGCAAUGACUUCUUUGACUUCAGAUUAAAAAGAGAAAAGGAGCAAUUUAAGGCUGCAAUCUAAUAGUGCAUUGUCUCUAAAGGAGAAUCCUUCUGCUAGUAGCUCCCCCUCAAACCUCUUGCAAGAAGGGCUCCUCUGCCUGCAAGAACCCUAGAGGUAUGAAGGUAGGUUUGUACACUUUUUACAUGGUGACAAAUACUGAUGCAGCUGUGAAAGACCAAGAGCCAUCUAUAAAAAAGGAUUUAGGGGCCUAAAUAGGACAUAGGGGGAAUAUACCCCUUGUUUAAGGGGUAAGCAGCAUAGCACAUAUGUCAUCCUCAAGUACAAUCAUAAUCCAGAAAGUGGCUGAGGGUUUUCAAGACUUUGCUAUCUAAGGUAGGGAUAUUGUAUCUCCUAAUCUGUUACUGAAGAGAUGAGGACUUCUAACUGAUGUGCUAAGGAUCUUCCUCUUACUGACUGUAUGAAGCGUCUACAUUAAACAGACUGAACAAUCUCUUAUAUCCUAAUUUGGGAGACUAAAACUGCCUUCCUCUAGUAUGCACCAUGCAUCAGAAAUGCCAGAUUCCUCUUUCUUAUAUCUAGGUGACUGUUCUCCAUCAUGCUGUUGUCAUUCAUCUUUUAUGCACCAGCCUACCGGGAUUUCCAUAUUCUCUGAUCCCUCUGAAAUAAGCCCAGUUUAGGGCUUUUAGGUAUGGUCUUAGAGGGCAUAUCUAGUCCUGAAUCCUAAAAAAGAUAUUUAUUCCAUGCAUACAGGUGUCUUUGUCCAAAAUGAGCUCAAUAGACUUAAUCUGAACUCCAGAUAAAUAUUAACUGUCAAUCACGUGAAUCCAUCAAAUAUUCCAUUCAAGGUUUGGUUUGUUGUUGUGCAUUUGUGUUUUAUUUUUUGUAAUGAUGAAAAAAAGAUAUAUUGUGCUCUGGACUAGUGUACCUGGUAAAAAUCCUUGAAUUACAGAAGUCCAGCUCCAAAUAUGUACAUAUAUAACUAUUCCCACUGUACGAGCAGGGUGCAGUAGCCUACAGUCACUGAUUUCUGCAAGUGCUUUUGUGUGAUGAAAGAUUGGAACUCCCUGAGCAGUUAUGGAAUCAACUAUUCUCAAGGUGGUGGUGCCUGGAGAGUGAAUAGUCCUAGGCUGAGGAAGACUGAGAACGAAGUGCUACACGUUCAUAUUUCUGCCACAUGCUGUGUUUCUAAUGUGUACUUGCUAGCUCUUUUUAUUCUGCUCAUCUUCAUAUAUUGUUCUGACUUGCAGGGCUUUAUGAUUGAAGAAUUAAAAAUCAUUUAUUUUAAACACCGCAAUGAUCAAAUUGCUGGUGUGCAUAAUUAUUUUGUUCCUAAUGAACAUUCUAGGCUGUGGCAAAAUUUCUGCUGAAUUAGAUAUUCAUCUUCUGGAUGCUGUUUCAGGCUCCAGAGCUUGCCUGCAGUAAGGCCUGGUGCGUAGCUACUGCUUCUUUCCUCAUGAGAGGGGACUAGCAGCAAGUGGCUCUAACAAAACUUCAUGUUACUCACCAUUCAGGCUUUUGAAGGCAGAACAGUAUGGUCAGCUUGCCAGCUUUGAUUGUGGAAGAGAUGAUAGAAAGUCCGUUGGUUCUGCAGGCAGACUAAGCUACUACAUCUACUAAGCUGUAAGUUAUUUAUAUGGACUCUCCUUCAGUUUCUAACACCUCCCUCUUAUUCUUAUCAGGGAAAUUAUUGGUUGUCUAAUUGUUCCAGAAUUAAAAGUGCAGCAAAAUUUGUCAUUCUUUAAGAUCUUCACUAUCUCCAUGCUAAUUUCUGUGUAAGAGGGACCUGAACUUAAGAAAAAGCUGAAGGAAGAAUAACCUGAAGAGGCUGUGGUUCCUUAUGAACACUGAUUUUGAAAACAAAGGCAUGCAAAGUGCUCUACACUGAGGCCUGCGCUUUUGUUAGCAGCAUGAUGGUGCCAUGGCUUGCACCAACCUCAGUAAAGCAUUAUAUAUACAAGCUUAUUCACCACAGUGGAAAAAGCACUGCAGGAGUGCAUGGUCUCUCUACCCCUUCCUGACCAAUUUCCAUGUGGUUCACCACACUUCCUUCACCAGGCAUACCAUAACCCCUUUUCAUCUGGUCAUGGAGCUUCCCACACAUCACAGCCUCCAGCCCCUCUUGCAGCAGCCACAUGCUAAAUGGAGCAACUACAUUUUCAGAGUCCUGACAGUGAAAUAUGCUUGCUUGAUGUUAGAAAUACACCUCCUACUUCACAGAAAUAAAAGCUGUAUGUCACAUCUAACGUGCCAGACUAUUUUGCUUUCAACAGUGCAGAAGUGGAGAAUGAUUUUGUUUAAAGCAGUCUCAGGCUGAGCCAUGUUUAACUGCUCUUUGGAAAUAGUGGGGGUCUAGAAAAGGGAGAUGAAGGAAUAAAAAAUUGUUAACUUUCAUUGGCCACCAGUUUAGCUGCAAACAGUACUAUAUAGGUUGCUUAGAGAACUGUUUGUUAGUUUCUUUUCUAACCUCCACUUUCUUUUUUCCUUUCUGUAACUGUUAAGGACUGCAUCCAGAGCUGUAUUCAGAACAACACAUGCAGCGGAGAAAGCAUUAAAAGUUUCAAAACAGGACUUUACACACUUUGCUACCCAUCAGAAAGCUUCCUUCCUCCUGUAGGGAAUGUCACACCAUCUGACUAAACCUGUUCCAAAUGAAAGAACCAGGCCAAAGCAGUAACCUAGACAACUCCAAUGUUACAGCAAACACUACUAUUUAGGUAUCUACUACUGAGAAGGGAAUAGUUACUCCUUUACCUGUUUUAAUUUCCUGUUGCCCUCUGAGCUUCUUUUAAGCAGGGCUGUCAUGCAGUUGGUGUUUGUCAGCUCCACCAAUAAGCAGAAAACUUGAGGCACUUACAGAUUUUCUUCUAGCUCCAUUUGCAAGCUUAGAGAAUGGGGUUGCAGGUAUUAUUUCUUCUUCCUUUUUUUCAUGUUGGACCUUUAUUCUGUUUGUUUGCUUUAGAUGCAUGUGGUUUUGCCAUGUAAUCUGGAACAUGCUCAGCUGAGCAAACUGCUCAGAACUUAGUGUUUGAUAUUUUUAUGCUUUUAAUCAAAAUAGUGCUGCUUGGUGUAUUUUCAAAUGUAACUAGGAUUUGGCUGCAUUUAUCUGGCUAAUUUUCAGAACAUUGAGAUAACAUGCAUCAGUACGGCAGGUUUACAUUCAGCUUUGCAAAUCAGGGAAAAAAAACUGUAAGAGGAAAUGACAGAUUAAGUACGGAUGAGUUGUAAAGAGUCUCUGAGAACAGAAGGUUUACAGAAUCACUGAUUGCACACAGUCACUAAAACUUGUGGUUAUGUGGGGAACUCACCAUAAGUCACCAUAACUUUCAGAAUCUUGCAAAUCCGUACUGAGGUCUAAACUGAAGAAGUUUUCAGUGUGCAUAGCUGAGAGUGAUACAUGAUCCUGAUAUAGGAUGGUUAUCAUUUUAGAUGUUAUCCAAAAACUAGAAGGAAAAACCACUUCCUAGCGUGGCUGGAACCACAAUUCAGUAUAGUGUUCAUACUGGUUCUGGUGACAGGAAUUCUGAAUUUACUUUUCCUUUAUGGUGUCAGAAGGAGUAACAUAAAAUUCUCUAUGUAUGUUUGAAAACAGUAUCAGUUUUAAGUUCAGCCCAGCUGUACCCUGAGGCUGAAACAUGGCCAUGUUUUGGCAGCAGGGAAAACUGCCAUAUGUUGCUGUGAUAAAGAAAUUACACCGAUGCCAGUCUCUGAAGUCAGACUUAUA